GCAGUCGAACGGUAAGAGCCCCUUCGGGGGUACACGAGUGGCGAACGGGUGAGUAACACGUGGGUAAUCUGCCCUGCACUUCGGGAUAAGCCUGGGAAACCGGGUCUAAUACCGGAUAUGAACUCCUGCCGCAUGGUGGGGGUUGGAAAGUUUUUCGGUGCAGGAUGAGCCCGCGGCCUAUCAGCUUGUUGGUGGGGUAAUGGCCUACCAAGGCGACGACGGGUAGCCGGCCUGAGAGGGUGAUCGGCCACACUGGGACUGAGACACGGCCCAGACUCCUACGGGAGGCAGCAGUGGGGAAUAUUGCACAAUGGGCGAAAGCCUGAUGCAGCGACGCCGCGUGGGGGAUGACGGUCUUCGGAUUGUAAACCCCUUUCAGUAGGGACGAAGCGCAAGUGACGGUACCUGCAGAAGAAGCACCGGCUAACUACGUGCCAGCAGCCGCGGUAGAUACCCUAGGGUGCGAGUCCAUGUCCGGAAUUACGGUGGGCGCUAAAGAGCUCGUAGGCGGUCCUUCUCACGGACGUCCGUGAAAUCCGUAGCUAACGGCAUUAACCGCCCCGCCUGCAGGCGAGUACGGCCGCAAGACUAAAGUACUACAGGGGAGACUGGAAUUCACUGGUGUAGCCCGCGACAAUGCGGCAGAGAUCAGGAGGAUUACACUCGAUGGCGAAGGCGGGUCUCUGAGUAGUAACCUGACGCUGAGGAGCUUGACAUAGACAUGGGUAGCGAACAGGCAGUAGAUAUCGUUUCCCUUGUGGCUUGUAUACAGGUGGUGCAUGGUUGUCGUCAGCUCGUGUCGUGAGAUGUUGGGUUAAGUCCCGCAACGAGCGCAACCCCUGUCUCAUGUUGCCAGCACGUAAUGGUGGGGACUCGUGAGAGACUGCCGGGGUCAACUCGGAGGAAGGUGGGGAUGACGUCAAAUCAUCAUGCCCCUUAUGUCUAGGGCUUCACACAUGCUACAAUGGCUAGUACAGAGGGCUGCGAUACCGCGAGGUGGAGCGAAUCCCUUAAAGCUGGUCUCAGUUCGGAUUGGGGUCUGCAACUCGACCCCAUGAAGUCGGAGUCGCUAGUAAUCGCAGAUCAGCAACGCUGCGGUGAAUACGUUCCCGGGCCUUGUACACACCGCCCGUCACGUCAUGAAAGUCGGUAACACCCGAAGCCGGUA
rnacentral:rRNA from 1 species